rnacentral:rRNA from 1 species
GAGUCUUAAUAGGGCGUUUAGUUGCUGGGUAUAGACCCGAAACCAGGCGAUCUAUCCAUGAGCAGGUUGAAGGUUGGGUAACACUAACUGGAGGACCGAACCCACUGUCGUUGAAAAGCCAGGGGAUGACUUGUGGAUAGGGGUGAAAGGCUAAUCAAGCCUGGUGAUAGCUGGUUCUCCCCGAAAGCUAUUUAGGUAGCGCCUCGGACGAAUACCAUAGGGGGUAGAGCACUGUUUCGGCUAGGGGGUCAUCCCGACUUACCAAACCGAUGCAAACUCCGAAUACCUAUGAGUACUAUCCGGGAGACAGACUGCGGGUGCUAACGUCCGUAGUCAAGAGGAAAACAAUCCAGACCGCCAGCUAAGGCCCCAAAAUCAUAGUUAAGUGGGAAACGAUGUGGGAAGGCAUAGACAGCUAGGAGGUUGGCUUAGAAGCAGCCACCCUUUAAAGAAAGCGUAAUAGCUCACUAGUCGAGUCGGCCUGCGCGGAAGAUGUAACGGGGCUAAAACUAUGUGCCGAAGCUGCGGAUUUGACAUUAGUCAAGUGGUAGGGGAGCGUUCUGUAAGCCGAUGAAGGUGUAUUGAGAAGUAUGCUGGAGGUAUCAGAAGUGCGAAUGCUGACGUGAGUAACGACAAAACGGGUGAAAAACCCGUUCGCCGAAAGACCAAGGGUUCCAGUCCAACGUUAAUCGGGGCUGGGUGAGUCGACCCCUAAGG